rnacentral:misc_RNA from 1 species
AAUAUUUAUACUGGUCCAUACCGCAGGGGCAACAGCCUGAAUCCGAAGCCCAUCACUGAUCUCACUUUUUAUCUCAAUAGGGUAACAGUGCGAAAUUUUCGGGACGGAUCACUAUUCGGGUCCAUGAAAAAAUAUAUUCAAAAUUCAAGCCACAAAAACAACAAUUCUUCCCCUUGGUUUGAAUUCCCUUUAUCAUCAACAAAAUAAACCACAAAAUACUCUGUCUUGCCAUAUACCCUUGCAAGGGCAUUACUGAGCACUACA